AAAAGAUUAUACAACUGGCGGAAAGCAUGGAAUUAACCAUGGGGGAGUAUAAUCUAUUUAAAAAUCGCCCGCCUGGAUAAUGAAU
rnacentral:ncRNA from 2 species